rnacentral:rRNA from 1 species
UACGGAGGGUGCGAGCGUUGUCCGGAAUCACUGGGCGUAAAGGCGCGUAGGCGGCCUGAUAAGUAGGGGGUGAAAUCCUGCGGCUUAACCGCAGGGCUGCCUUCUAAACUGUCAGGCUAGAGCACAGUAGAGGCAGGUGGAAUUCCCGGUGUAGCGGUGGAAUGCGUAGAGAUCGGGAAGAACAUCAGUGGCGAAGGCGGCCUGCUGGGCUGUUGCUGACGCUGAGGCGCGACAGCGGUGGGGAGCAAACAGGA